CAGCCUUGAGGGAGGGGAAGGGCCCCCCAAUGCGGGAGGCUCCCGGCUUCCCUUUCCCCAUCCCGGGGCGGGGGCGCCCCCCCCCCCCCCACUUCCCUGCUAGUUUUCUGGAAUUCGUUUCUUUUGGCUUUUUCUGUUUUCCCUCUAGAAGGGGCUUCUCCGACUCGAACUGCAGAAUGCAUGUCCAUUGGGGGGCUCUGGGUGGGCUGGGGACCAGGCACCUGACCCCUGUGGCCUGGCCUUAUCACCGACACGACCUCUCGCCAGCCACUCAGCCUGCCCUCUUCCCUUUAAACUUCAUGUCUGGUUGGCAUAUGCCCCUUGGAUGCACUAAAAUUGCUCUUAUUUGCUUCUGGACUGGCCAUGAAGUGAGGAGAUGGUUAUUUAAAGAGAAUUCCGUAUUUAUUUGACACACAAAAAAAUCCAGUUAAUAUAUUAAUGUGAAAUAAACCCUGUUUGCACCUUGAUCUGUCUGCUGAAAAUGUGAACUAGUAAACACGAAGUGACUGGACCCUGUCUGGCUCUGUGUGUGGUGACGGCUGAGCGGGGAAGGGGAGCUGCCUGGCUGGCUGCCAGGGGUGGUGGCUCUGGGAGACGGGCUCCCUCCCAUGUGAGGGUCCCUUGUUCUCUUGGUCCAUUUGGGCCCAGGAUGCUAAGGCCUCUCCCGGGUUUAUUCCGGGGCAGUUUCUCAGCAACUGUGCCCACCCACCGAGUCCCUUGGGGCCUGGCCCAGCCCAGGAGCUGCCCUGGGUGGGAGGUGGCGUUGGAGGCGGUGGCAUUGACAGAGUGCCUUUGUGAAGGCCAGCCGGUUGGGCGAGGCCCUGGUGCCACCUUCCGUGUGAACCUUGGUGCCUGGGGCUAGGGGAGGGUGGGAAAUAGCCACAGUCCACGCAGGGGCCUGCACUCCCAGGGCCUGGCUUGGAGGAAGGGCCUGGAUGUGGGGGCGCUCAGCCCAGCACCGAGGUGUCCGUUUUCCAGUCCCUUCUGGACCAAGUCGUCCUGUCAGGAGAGGCAAGCCCCACGGCCUCCCAGCCUCUUCCUUCUGGCCAGCCCCGCCCAGCAGCUCCUGGGGUUGGCUAAACCCCCUACAAGGGCAUUUGAAGGGAGCCCUCUCCUGCCUAUCCUUGGGGGGGCGGGAGCAGAGGCCUUGGGGCUGGCCCUACCCGGCACAGCCUGGUCCUGUCACCUCGGUGGAAUGUCACCUGUGGAGCAGAGCGGGUUGAGCAAUUGGCUGACCGCUGAGGAGGCACCUCUCUGGAGCCCCCAUCCCGUGCCCCCUCACUCCCAGCCCCGGCUUCUGAGGCCCGUUCAGGGAAGGCUGCGGUGAGGACCUUCCUUGGCCAGGUUGGCUUCC
rnacentral:lncRNA from 1 species